rnacentral:lncRNA from 1 species
GCCUCUGGGGGGCGCUGAGUGCCAAGGCCGCGUGGAAGGACGACGGGGACAUCCACAUGGCAGUGGCUGGAAGCUGGGAGCUCUGGCACUAUGCGGGUCAGCAGGUGCCCACUGGGGCCAGUGUCCGGGGCCAGCGGGAGAGGCCGGUGCAGGUGCCAGGCCAGGAUGAGGACCACGUGCCUGACUUUCAGCGGCGAGCCGGGUGCCGGACUUCGCAGUGCUAAAGGCCAGCAGAAGGACAAACAGGCAAGAAUUACUGAGGAACAAAGUGACAAGCAAGCAAGCACACUGGGUGGUGAACAGGAGCCGAGCCCGACAGGAGACAUGGCCUCUGCACUGCGGGGGUGUGGCGGGGCGCUCGCUGGCAGGCACAGCCCCGGUUCCAUCCCCUGAACCACAAAAAAAGAUUAAAAAAAGAUGUCAGUGUUUUAUAAAAAUAGAACUAGAAGACAGCAUACGUGAGGUUUAUCUGACUUCAGCGUGAAGGGAAGACUUCCUACGCGAAAAAUAAUGAAGGGAGCUCAAAAAAAACCAGAACUAGAUUUUAAAAUUCUGUAAAUCACAAAGCUCCAUGAACCAAAAUUUUAAGCUAUUUCAUAAGUAGG